AUUGGGACUGAGACACGGCCCAGACUCCUACGGGAGGCAGCAGUGGGGAAUAUUGCACAAUGGGGGAAACCUGAUGCAGCGACGCAGCGUGCGGGAUGACGGCCUUUCGGGUUGUAAACCGCUUUCAGCAGGGAAGAAGCGAAAGUGACGGUACCUGCAGAAGAAGUACCGGCUAACUACGUGCCAGCAGCCGCGGUAAUACGUAGGGUACGAGCGUUGUCCGGAAUUAUUGGGCGUAAAGAGCUCGUAGGUGGUUGGUCACGUCUGCUGUGGAAACGCAACGCUUAACGUUGCGCGUGCAGUGGGUACGGGCUGACUAGAGUGCAGUAGGGGAGUCUGGAAUUCCUGGUGUAGCGGUGAAAUGCGCAGAUAUCAGGAGGAACACCGGUGGCGAAGGCGGGACUCUGGGCUGUAACUGACACUGAGGAGCGAAAGCAUGGGGAGCGAACAGGAUUAGAUACCCUGGUAGUCCAUGCCGUAAACGUUGGGCACUAGGUGUGGGGGACAUUCCACGUUCUCCGCGCCGUAGCUAACGCAUUAAGUGCCCCGCCUGGGGAGUACGGUCGCAAGGCUAAAACUCAAAGGAAUUGACGGGGGCCCGCACAAGCGGCGGAGCAUGCGGAUUAAUUCGAUGCAACGCGAAGAACCUUACCAAGGCUUGACAUACACUGGACCGUUCUGGAAACAGUUCUUCUCUUUGGAGCUGGUGUACAGGUGGUGCAUGGUUGUCGUCAGCUCGUGUCGUGAGAUGUUGGGUUAAGUCCCGCAACGAGCGCAACCCUCGUUCUAUGUUGCCAGCACGUGAUGGUGGGAACUCAUAGGAGACUGCCGGGGUCAACUCGGAGGAAGGUGGGGAUGACGUCAAAUCAUCAUGCCCUUUAUGUCUUGGGCUUCACGCAUGCUACAAUGGCUGGUACAGAGAGAGGCGAACCCGUGAGGGUAAGCGAAUCCCUUAAAGCCAGUCUCAGUUCGGAUCGUAGUCUGCAAUUCGACUACGUGAAGUCGGAGUCGCUAGUAAUCGCAGAUCAGCAACGCUGCGGUGAAUACGUUCCCGGGCCUUGUACACACCGCCCGUCAAGUCACGAAAGUCGGUAACACCCGAAGCCGGUGUCCCAACCCACUUGUGGGAGGCGUUGUGC
rnacentral:rRNA from 1 species